rnacentral:lncRNA from 1 species
CAACACAUAAAAUAACACCAACCAUUGUCUAUUGAUUGUGACAAUGCUUGUUCCUGUCUCCUGGGACACAUAUGUGAGCACUUUAAGUUGAACUUUGCAAAUGGCUUUCUGAGACUGAGCUUGACCAGAGCUGACCUUAGUUGGAUCAAAGCAGAAAAAAGCAAUAGAUCAGUUCACUGCAAGGCCAAGAGGAGAGGAGGUUUUUACUUCCCCAAGUGGAGGUGAGUCAGAGGAACAAAUUCUAGUCCCACUUCUAACACUAUCUAGCCAGGUCAGCAUACGCAACUCACUUCAAUUCUCUGAACUUCACCCAAUCUCAAAGGGAUGCUGUUGUAACUCAGACAAUGGUGACAUCAAUGAUCCUUCCCCUUAAACUCUAGAUUUUAACAUUGUUUUGCAACCUCAUUCCCUUAAUUGUGGAUAGCCCAUUGUCUCUCCCAAAGACUUGUGAAGAUUAUGGGCAGGCUUCCAUUUCCUUGCCACCUUUGGCUUAAAGCUUUGUCAUUUACUCUUGUCAUGAUAUAUUAUCAGUACAAAAUGAUGUUGCUUCCCAUUAUCCAGACACAGAAACCAUCUCUUCCCCUUGAUUUCCCUCAAACCCACUAACACAAGACCUUUGUAUUUGUAGCAGACUUCUGGAUAUUCAAAUACAAACAAUUAAAAAUAGGAUCUUUAACUUCUUUCUUCUCAAAGUUCAUUAUUGAACAUCUCCUAAGACAGAUCCUCUUUCUCUUCUCUGUUCUCCUCUGAAUUUGUAUUCUUUCUGUUGUAGAAUAGCUUACUCAUAUCUUUUUAGCACCAUCUCCUUCCAACCUCAACUUGCAUUCUACACUGAGUGGCUCAUUGUGGGGGUUCAGUCAGGCUGGUGGGAAAAGUUUUAGUUAUAAUAACCACAAACCCUCUUGGAAGGCCUGAGAGUUUGCAUAACUUUGGUAAUAGAUCUGGCUGAAGGCAGCCAGAGUCCCUUUGCAGGAGCCAGAGAGCUUAGGGUGCAAAUACAAAGGAAUGUAGAGUAGUUUAUCUAACUAACUUGUUUACUCAUGUGGUCCUAAGACUAACCUUUGAUUUACCGCGGGUGCUUAAUUGCUUUUUACUCUGAAAGUCCACAAUGUCAAUUACCCUCUAGUGGUGUUGACUCGAGCCUUUGUCAAUUAAACUUCACUGAAUAAACGCGAGUCUCACUGGCUGGUCAGGGCUGUGGUUACAACUAAGUGGCAUGGAUGCUCAGUAGAACUGGCAAAGCAGAAUAUCUGUGUAUCAGUGUAUUUUAUUCGUCCAUUAUUGGGUCAGUGUCUGCAGGACAGACCCCCCCCCAGAUCAUAAAUGUCAUUCCCUAAGCAGAGAUACCCUCCUCUCUAAAAACACUUCUGGGCUGGGUGUAGUGGUGCAGUCUUGUAUUCCCAGCACUUUGGGAGGCUGAGGUGGGAAGCCCACUUGAGCCCAAGAGUUCAAGGCUGCAGUGAGCUAUGAUCUUCUGACUCUUGUCUUUAGAUAUUAACUGUUUAUAUCUUUAUUUAAAGAACUUACAGUAACAGUAGACAUAACUACUGGCCAAAUUCUCAGGGACUUCUGAGCAUUCAUAAUGCUCAGCACUUAUAAUGCACUAGGAAUUGUGCUGAGAAUUUUCACAUCAGUCAAUUCACACAUUGCCUUCAAAGCUCCCAAACGUGGGGUCGACAUCCUAAACUGAGUUCAACCUGAGGAAUCCAUCAACCUGACUCAUUCUAAGGUCACAUCAUAUAGAGUGGUUUGGAGUUUGGAAUUUGUUCCCACAGGAUUAACUGUAGUGAAAAUAUCCCGAUGUUAUAGAAGAAUGAACAAGAAGAGAAGGAGGAAGAGGAAGAUGAGAUCUAAUGUGAAUCUGACUCAAUUUCUUGCAGAACUAUUUGAGUAAAACUAGCAGUGGAAAUGUCCACAGAUAAAUCAAGAUGUUUCUGACAUAGGAAUAAGAAACUGCAGUUUUCGUUCAAGGGCAAUGUGUCUAUGCUGGAGAGGAAGGCUGGAGAUCGAGCAUAGAAAGGUCUCUGUUCCUGGGGCCUAGUGCAGUAUCCAUGAUUCCUACUGAAGACACAAGGCAAAGGGGUUGCAGAAAAGAACUGUAUAAAUACCUGCUGCAGUAGCUUUAGUGGGAAGAUCAGUGGGUACCACUGCAGAGGCUCCUCUGGUGGGCUGCAGUGGCAGUGCCUUUGCAAACAUUGAUGGAAGUGUUGCCAUUUGGGAAGAACAUUUCAGCAGGAAACAUCGCCAUAGGCAACUCUGGGAAGAAGCUUUGAGAAGAGAGGGGAAAAGGGGACAUUACAAGUGCCUCUUGGAAAUUCCCAGAACAUUCUGUGGGCUGUUUGAGGGGGCUACAUUUUUGCAGAUCAUGUGAAAGUUGAUCCAGAAGAAUACUUUUCGAAGAAUCAGAUGCUGAGGCCCUGACAGCAUGCUUGAUCACAGCUGAAGCAUGGUAGGAACAGCAGCAUCAAGGUAACACCUUAAAAGGAAUAAUCUCCAAGCUGACUCUUGCUGCCUCAAGGGCCAAACUGUGACUUUUGCGACAAGCCCGUGUGAUUUGUAUGUUGGACAUUCAGGGAUAUGGAAUAUGAUGUUGAAAUGAAGUGUUUGUUUUUCUCAUUGAGGUUGUAAAUAAGCAUUAUUAGUCCAGAAUUAUGUUAACGAGGCGGGUGGAUCACCUGAGGUCAGGAGUUUGAGACCAGCCUGGCCAACAU